GGAGGGGUCCGACGCCACUCAGCUGGCCACCGACCUAUGAUCGGUCGACUCCUCUGAUCGUCGUACAGCCGCCAGAGCUUGUCGGUUCUGACAGCCGCAUGCGGCACUGCCGUCUAGGGGCAUUAUCCCACCUAGGGCAUUGUCAACCCUAGCGAUUGGACAGCCCCACGGCGACAUGACACUUUCACGGCGACUCUGACAGUCUACAGUGAGUUGACAAUUCCUCACUUGUCUGUGCCAUUAAUGACGGCGCCAUACCGUGCUCCACUAUAUAAAUCGGGGAAGGCAACAGUGCAAGGGAUCCGCUC
rnacentral:lncRNA from 1 species